UUAGGGCAGAGCUGUUGCUCAUAUAUUGUCUUUGUUGAUUUAACGAAUAUUUUAUUGAUACAAAUGGAUCUAGAUGUAUAUAUUCUACCUACUAACACCAAUCUAUGUCUCUAACUCUCUAUCCUCUUAUUAAACAGCUUUCCGGAUCCACGUGCCAGGGGUGUCUGUGCUGACGUCACUACGUCAGCACAGACUUUAGGAAGGACUCCCCUUAUUUGUCUGACCCAGUUAGCUUUACAAAAAAAAAAUUUCUCUAAGUUUUCUUUUCUGUCGGUCUUUGGGAUAGAUUAUCGUCGAUUGUCUCACUAGAUAAUCUUUACAACUAUAGCCAUCUAACGCUAAUUGGUCAUUCAUGCAGAAAUUUAAAAAAUGCCUUAAAUUUGGUCCAAUGGUAAUGCAGAGAGUAUAAGCAUAAGCAGAAUCAUCCAAGUCGCCAAUAUACACAAUAGUGCACCGUACGGGUCACUAUUAGCUCUCGUCAUUAUUGAUUAAUAUGUCUAAGGUUUCAGCUAUUUUAAUUGCCGUGCACUUUUCUCUCCUCUUUAGUUUUUUCUCUCCGAUUAUGAUAAUAGGGACCGGACGGAACGCAAUAUAACGCACAAAUGAGAGCCAGAGGAGAAAUAGAAUGAAAGCUCGAAAAAUUGAUGGGACAAGGUGUCGAACUCUACUCUCGCCAGCCUUUAGCGUCAAACGUUAUCAUCCUUAAAUCUCUCAACGCAUCUCCACUGCCUAGUUAGUUAAAGGAAAAGUUAAACUUCAUUUUAAUUUAGUUUAUCGUCGCUGCUCUCUUGGCCGAUGCUGUCGCCGCUCCUUCCGGCUACCAAUCAACCCAUAGAGAUUCCAGUUACAUGACGUCUCCCAGCAACGCUUCUUCCGGCUACAACAAGGACAGCAAAUAUGGCGGAAUCACCAUCACCAGCCAACACGACGUCCGCAAUCUCGACGGAAGCUGCAAAUG